rnacentral:lncRNA from 12 species
CAAAGCUGUUACUAAUUCAGGAGGAGUCUGCCUCAGCAAAAGCUCUCCAGAGUCCAAAAUAUUUUGCAAAGAGUAAAUAUGGGAAUUAUUCACCUACCACAGAACAGCAUCAGCCCCUGGGUGGAAUGCAGGAGCUGUUUAACAGUGCACAGAAACAUUUCCCCAACGUUUUGGACAGGAAUUGAAGGUUCCUGAAUGCCCAAUUGAAGCUACAACUAGAAGAAAGUACAGGACCCCUCCCUUACCUUGGUCCUGGAUGGACCCGAGUACCACACCACUUCCUCCAGGACACCAAGAGAUUUUCUGGAGCUCAUCCAUCUGCCCCAGUCCUCCACAUGAGAUCUGGCAAGUUAAUCCCUCCAAGUGUCUGGGGAGCAGCACCAGAAGCUUCUGUUUGGUGAGGAAAGUCUGUGCUGCAGUGGGUGGGAAGAACCUCAUUGCCAAGAACACCAAACCUCUCUUCCCAAACCUCCUUCUGCCCAAACUGUGAAGAGAAUGGCCAUGUCAUCUUGCUGUACAUCUUGCUCUAUAAACUCCAUGGCAAUCUGCUGUCAGUUUCUGUCUGCUUUCCUAUCUUAUGCCA